GCGUGGCUUCCGGAGCUAACGCGUUAAAUAGACCGCCUGGGGAGUACGGCCGCAAGGUUAAAACUCAAAUGAAUUGACGGGGGCCCGCACAAGCGGUGGAGCAUGUGGUUUAAUUCGAUGCAACGCGAAGAACCUUACCUGGUCUUGACAUCCACAGAACUUGCCAGAGAUGCUUUGGUGCCUUCGGGAACUGUGAGACAGGUGCUGCAUGGCUGUCGUCAGCUCGUGUUGUGAAAUGUUGGGUUAAGUCCCGCAACGAGCGCAACCCUUAUCCUUUGUUGCCAGCGGUCCGGCCGGGAACUCAAAGGAGACUGCCAGUGAUAAACUGGAGGAAGGUG
rnacentral:rRNA from 1 species